CUACGGGUCGCUGCAGUGGGGAAUAUUGCACAAUGGGCGCAAGCCUGAUGCAGCCAUGCCGCGUGUAUGAAGAAGGCCUUCGGGUUGUAAAGUACUUUCAGCGGGGAGGAAGGGGGUAAAGUUAAUACCUUUGCUCAUUGACGUUACCCGCAGAAGAAGCACCGGCUAACUCCGUGCCAGCAGCCGCGGUAAUACGGAGGGUGCAAGCGUUAAUCGGAAUUACUGGGCGUAAAGCGCACGCAGGCGGUUUGUUAAGUCAGAUGUGAAAUCCCCGGGCUCAACCUGGGAACUGCAUCUGAUACUGGCGAGCUUGAGUCUCGUAGAGGGGGGUAGAAUUGCAGGUGUAGCGGUGAAAUGCGUAGAGAUCUGGAGGAAUACCGGUGGCGAAGGCGGCCCCCUGGACGAAGACUGACGCUCAGGUGCGAAAGCGUGGGGAGCAAACAGGAUUAGAUACCCGCGUAGUC
rnacentral:rRNA from 1 species